rnacentral:rRNA from 1 species
AAUCCUGGCUCAGAACGAACGCUGGCGGCAGGCUUAACACAUGCAAGUUGAACGGGAUUUGUGUGGUGCUUGCACCAUAUAAUGAGAGUAGCGCACUGGUGAGUAACACGUGGGAACGUACCUUUUGGUGGGGGACAACAUCUGGAAACGGAUGCUAAUACCGCAUAAGACCUGAGGGUGAAAGAUUUAUCGCCGAAAGAACGGCCCGCGGAAGAUUAGGCAGUUGGUGGGGUAAAGGCCUACCAAACCUACGAUCUA